UACGUAGGGAGCGAGCGUUGUCCGGAAUUACUGGGUGUAAAGGGUGCGUAGGCGGGAUUGCAAGUCAGAUGUGAAAUACAUAGGCUUAACCUAUGGGCUGCAUUUGAAACUGUAGUUCUUGAGUGAAGUAGAGGCAAGCGGAAUUCCUGGUGUAGCGGUGAAAUGCGUAGAUAUCAGGAGGAACACCGGUGGCGAAGGCGGCUUGCUGGGCUUUAACUGACGCUGAGGCACGAAAGCGUGGGUAGCAA
rnacentral:rRNA from 1 species